UCAAUUAUUUAUAGCCUCUGGCUAUAGGAAAUUGUUAGUGGCAGACGGGUGAGUAAUGCGUAGGAAUCUACCUAGUAGUACGGAAUAGCCAUUAGAAAUGGUGGGUAAUACUGUAUAAUCCCCGAGGGGGAAAGAUUUAUCGCUAUUAGAUGAGCCUACGUUAGAUUAGCUAGUUGGUGAGGUAAUGGCUUACCAAGGCUAUGAUCUAUAGCUGGUCUGAGAGGACGAUCAGCCACACUGGAACUGAGAUACGGUCCAGACUCCUACGGGAGGCAGCAGUGGGGAAUAUUGGACAAUGGGCGAAAGCCUGAUCCAGCUAUGCCGCGUGAGUGAAGAAGGCCUUUCGGGUUUAAACCCCUUA
rnacentral:rRNA from 1 species